rnacentral:rRNA from 1 species
UACGUAGGCAGCGAGCGUUGUUCGGAGUUACUGGGCGUAAAGAGCGUGUAGGCGGCCUUACAGGUCAGCUGUGAAAACUCGAGGCUCAACCUCGAGACGUCGGUUGAAACCGUAAGGCUAGAGUCCGGAAGAGGAGAGUGGAAUUCCCGGUGUAGCGGUGAAAUGCGUAGAUAUCGGAAGGAACACCAGUGGCGAAAGCGGCUUCCUGGUCCAGCACCGACGUUCAGGCACGAAAGCGUGGGGAGCAAACAGG